rnacentral:rRNA from 1 species
GACGAACGCUGGCGGCGUGCUUAACACAUGCAAGUCGAGCGGUAAGGCCCUUUCGGGGGUACACGAGCGGCGAACGGGUGAGUAACACGUGGGUGACCUGCCCUCAGCUCUGGGAUAAGCCCGGGAAACUGGGUCUAAUACUGGAUAUGACUCCAUGACGCAUGUUGUGGGGUGGAAAGCCUUGUGCGGCUGAGGAUGGGCCCGCGGCCUAUCAGCUUGUGGUGGGGNGAUGGCCUACCAAGGCGACGACGGGUAGCCGGCCUGAGAGGGGCGACCGGCCACACUGGGGACUGAGACACGGCCCAGACUCCUACGGGAGGCAGCAGUGGGGAAUCUUGCGCAAUGGGCGAAAGCCUGACGCAGCGACGCCGCGUGAGGGAUGAC